rnacentral:tRNA from 1 species
GCCGGGAUGGCAGAGUGGACUAAACUUUCCACAUUAAUGCGCGGGCCUUGAGAGCCCGUGACCCCUUCGGGGUCUCGUGGGUUCAAAUCCCACUCCCGGCG